UCUCUUUCUCGUCGUUCUCUUCUCUCUUUCCUGGCGGCCGUCGUUCCUUUCUCAUCUCUUUCCCUGGCCGCCGCGCGCCUCCACCAGUCUUGGCAGCUUCCCGUCGCCAUCACCGCCCGCGAUUUCUCCCCGCCUCACACAUCCGCUCGUGUUGGACGCCGCCCGCCGCUUCUCCCCGUUCUGAGAGCCCCGGCCGCCGCCUCUGGAACCUUCUAGAACUCUUCCCCUUAUCUUCCCGGCGUGCCUUGCCUGCUCCGCUUUCGUGCUCCCAUCGAUGCUCCCGUGUUACGUGGCUGCAAUCCGACGCAUCCCACCUUUUGCCUCCCCGUGCUCUAUUUUUCCUUUGGAAAAACGAAAAGGGAAUACUCUUCGCGCGGCCGCGCGCGAACAAAUUGGCAACCGCGCGCCUAAAUCUCCUGAUCUUCCAGUGACUAAACUGAUGCAAAGAGAAACAACCCGGAGGCACAUCUAUCAGCAGCCUAACAAGGCACAAGCUUGGGCAAAUUCUUAAUUUACAAGCGAUCUUUUAUUCUGGAGUGUUUGGGUGAACCUUGUUCCGUUAUGCUUAUAAUGGAAGCCGAUCGUGAGAUCGUUUGGAAAGAAAAAAAAAAGAUCAACAGAAUGAGCAAAUUCUGACAGCCGCCUAACAAAGCACAGGCAGGAGGCAAAUUCUCAAGUUGCAAGCAAUCGACGGAAGGUCACAAGCGACCUGGAGCUUACUUGUCUUGUCCCCUGCCCUGAUGGCUUCUUCAAGGAUGAGUCCCAGGAAUCACGAGGGUGACGAUGAAUCACAAACAUGCAUAGCCCACAAGACAAAUUCUAACAAGAAUGGCAUGACAUUUUUAUCUGAAGAUGAAGCUUAUUCCUUUUAUAAUAAGUAUGCUUCAACUAUCGGUUUUAGUAUCCGAAGAGGGAGCCAUCACAAAGUAAAGAACAGCUCUGCAAUUCAACAACGCACAUUUUUAUGUUCUCGUCAAGGAUCCCGUGGUGAAGAUAAAAGAGAGGAUACAUUCACUUAUAGUAGGCCAGAAACACGAUGUGGCUGUGAAGCACAUAUGAAGAUAAGUUUUCGAAACGGAUAUUAUUAUGUGUAUGAAUUUGAAGCAACACAUAAUCACAUUCUCGCUACUGAAACCAUGGUCUAAUAUUUAAGAUCCCAAAGGAAAUUAUCAAAAGCACAAAUAGUAAAUGCCGAGCUUGCAAAGUCUCUAGGCAUUUCAAACAAAGCAACUAUUGAUCUCAUGGCUGAAGAAGCAUGUGGACUUGAAAACCUUGCCUUUAAACGCGAAGAUAUGAAAAAUUGUUUGUACUCAAAGCGAACACUCAAAGCAAAGGAAGAUGACAUAGGGGGAGUGUUAGAAUACAUGGAGAAGAAGGUAUCGGAAGAUGUCAAGUUUUUCUAUUCCAUUCAAGUUGAUGAGGAUGAUUUGAUAACUAAAUCUUUUGGGCUGACUCCAAAAUGGUCUCAGACUAUGCAAUAUUUGGUGAUGUUAUAUGCUUUGACACCACAUAUAGGAAACUAGAUGACGGGCGUCCAUUUGGUUUGAUUGUUGGGGUGAAUAACCACAAGAAAACUAUUGUCUUUGGUGCUACACUUCUCUAUGAUGAAACAGCUGAAAGUUUUGGUUGGCUUUUUAGAACUUUUCUAACAGUUAUGUCGGGAAAACAUCCAGAGACUAUUUUGACUGACGAAGAUGCAGCAAUAGCCAAGGCAAUCAGUUUAGUCCUGCCUCAAUCUCACCAUAGACUCUGUGUGUGGCAUAUGAAUAAAAAUGCUUGCAAGCAUCUUGCCGGAGUUGUUCAAGACUACAAGAAGUUCAAUGCUGAUUUUCAGCAUUGUAUCUAUGAUGUUGAGGAGGAAGACGAAUUUAUAAGUGCAUGGAAUGGAAUGCUUGAUAGGUACGGACUGCAUGACAAUACAUGGCUCCAAAGGCUUUUUGGGAAAAGGGAACAGUGGGCACUAGUGUAUGGCAGAAAUACGUUUUCUGCCCACAUGAGUAGUACGCAAAGGAGUGAAAGCAUGAGCAACGAACUAAAGAGUUACAUUAGUAUUAAAUAUGACAUGCUUACUUUUUUCGAGCAUUUUGAACGGCUAGUUGCAGAUAAAAGAGUAGAAGAGGUGAAGUGUGACUUCAAAGCAACACAAACAACUCCCAAGCUGAAGGCAGAAGCUAGCAAUAUGUUACGGCAAGCUGGAACUACAUAUACUCCAGCAAUAUUCAAGAUGUUUACAAAGUAAAAUUUCAUGGCACAAAUCGUGAGCAUGUUGUUAGAUUUGUUCUGAAAGAAGAAAGAGUUGAUUGCAGUUGCAAGAAGUUUGAAUUUGCUUGAUAUUAAUAAUAUCAAGCAUAUCCCUCAACAAUAUAUUUUGAAAAGAUGGACCAUUGAUGCAAAAGUUCUGGAGAUAACAAGCAAUUGCAACCUCAUAUGGACGCAAAAGAAAGAAUGGCGAAUCGCUACAGAGACUUGUGCAGAAUGUUUAUCAAAAUAGCUGCUCGUGCCGCAGAGUCUGAUGAAUCAUACAAUAAGGUUGCUAAUUCCGCAGAGCAGUUAGCACAAGAUGUAGAGAAAUGCUUGAAAAUUAGAACAUAUCCAGAUUUGGGCAACUCCUCUACCUCAGAAGGUACGAACAUCAGCUCUAAUAGAAUUUUGAAACACAACGAGGGGCUUCCCAAACCAAGAGGUAUCAAGGUCAAGGAGAAGACUGUCCGAGGAUCAAGAAGACCCAUAAGUGGCUUUGAGGAAGCAAUGCCAAAGAAGAAAAAGAGCACACAAGAUUCGGUACAACUACAACCUCAAGGCACCACAACGAGGCUUUUGGAGGUUUUGACAAAUCAAAUGCCUGCAUAUCAAUCACAUCACAACCCAAUCCUAAAUGCUCCAAUGCAGCCAUCAGUCGAUACUACCAUGCCGGUGUCACUGCAACCAUACAAUGCAUCAAUGGUAUAAGCAAGCGUAUACAUUGUCAUUCGGGAGUUCCAACAAAUCAAAUGUACUAUCUACAAGAUUACAACUCAGCCCUGAACCCCUCGACGCGGCCGGCCAUUGGCAGCACCACCCCUAGUAUGAUGACAGGACAAAAAUCAAGCUUUCUCACAUCAACCGAAGCCAACUUAAUCAAUGUGUUAUAAGUGGUAUCUCAUGUAUAUUUCACUUGGAAUUUGCAACUAACUGUAUUAGAUCUUGUAACCUAUGUACAGAUGUUGUACACGAGAUAGAUUGUGGUCCCAGUUUGUUCGGGUCGAACUCUCAGUGUUACUCUCUCGCUCUGACUCACAGUUGAUGAGAAAAA